ACAAAAUACAUGUAGCAUUGUGCAUUUUUACUCAUCAGCAUUACUAUAGGACAGAGGUUUUUGUCAGUUCUGUUUGCAGCCCUGUCCAUAGCGCUUAGCACGGAGUAGGAGACCAAUCCAUGUUUUAGGAAUAAAUAAAUAGAUAGCAGCCGUCGGUAAAUGCAGCAGAAAUGAGCCAUGCUGUAUAGGCAUUGGAUCUGAGCCUAGAACUAAUGUCAAGGGAGAUGAAUGGGUUUCCCCCAACAUACGUUUUUGAAACGGCACUAGCAGCAUUAGCUCGCAUUUACCUAGAUCUAUUAAGUUUAUAAAAAGCCAACCGAUUGUUCCCCGGCAUUAGCAAGCUUACAUGUAAAAGUCCUCCGCGAACAUUUCCAAUCGCGUCUGCUCAUCAGAGGGCCUUUGAUUCCUUACCAGCCAGAACAGUGAUUGUGCUUCGAAGACAUCUGCUGAGCUCCUCAUUGCUGUUUCCUCCUGCCGUGUGUACAGUUGCAUCCAUUGUGCCAGACCACGGAUCCCUCUGACCUGGUGAUGGAUCUCCGGGGCUGUCAAUCCCAGAUUUAUUGCUUUGUUUGGACCGUUACGUAUCUUCCAUGCCCAGCAGAGGUUGUUUCUUGGAGGCAAAAUACAGGCCCACACUUCAAACACCUUUGACGUUUACAUUGAUGGAGCAUUGAGUGAAAGUGAAAGUGGUGAUUCUGAAAAUCAAAGACGGUGUUGGGAGAAGAGGGCACGUCCAUGCCUCUCCACCAAGUGGACUAGAGACUUUGUGGCACUGAAUGUGGAUCUAAGCUUCAGUGGGGAUGAUAAAGGACCAGCGAACAUUCCAGGACAUAUCACUGAAGAAAGCACCAGCCGUAGAUUUUCUCUCCUUGUUUAUCAGAAACAACCUGUGGCAGAAUUUGACAGAAAAGACAAAUUCACAUGCCCAUCAAAUGUGUGCAGAAAAGCCAAACUACUCUUAUUCCAAGAACAUCACGGAUGCUUCUGUUGAUGAAAUGAAAGCUUUUACUGGGCUAAGAUAUACAUGGAAUAUUCGUGUAUAAAACUAAGCUAUCUGGAUUACUGGUCAAGUGAGAGACCUGACCUUCUUGCAUGUGAUUUAUGAGCAGGAUGUAAACAUUGAUAAAACAGACAAAUACUAAAUAUUGGUAUUAGAAGUAAGGUAGAACUAUUAUCUUCAAUCUCUCCAAGUUUCAACUAAAUCUAACCACUGUUGUGUAUAGUAUGAAUAAUUUUCUAAUGAAUCAACACUUUUCAAAAUUUUGCUCAGGAAGCCAGGCAGGGUACUCAAGGGCUCAGGUCUAGGAGGGCUAGAAUAUUAUGGACAUAAAGAACAAGUUCACAACAUGUUAUGGAAGUGAAUCAGGUCUGAUUUUGAGAUAAAGAACCAGUAGUCCAGAUUAGAUUAAUGUGUGGAAAGACAGGAGAGAAAUAGGCAAGGGGGAAAGACUUGCAG
rnacentral:sRNA from 1 species